CUACCAUGCAGUCGAACGAUGAUCUCCCGCUUGCGGGAGUGAUUAGUGGCGAACGGGUGAGUAAUACGUGAGUAACCUGCCCUUGACUCUGGGAUAAGCCUGGGAAACCGGGUCUAAUACUGGAUACGACCCCCUGUCGCAUGGUGGGGGGUGGAAAGGGUUUGACUGGUUUUGGAUGGGCUCACGGCCUAUCAGCUUGUUGGUGGGGUAAUGGCUCACCAAGGCGACGACGGGUAGCCGGCCUGAGAGGGUGACCGGCCACACUGGGACUGAGACACGGCCCAGACUCCUACGGGAGGCAGCAGUGGGGAAUAUUGCACAAUGGGCGCAAGCCUGAUGCAGCGACGCCGCGUGAGGGAUGACGGCCUUCGGGUUGUAAACCUCUUUCAGCAGGGAAGAAGCCACAAGUGACGGUACCUGCAGAAGAAGCGCCGGCUAACUACGUGCCAGCAGCCGCGGUAAUACGUAGGGCGCAAGCGUUGUCCGGAAUUAUUGGGCGUAAAGAGCUCGUAGGCGGUUUGUCGCGUCUGCUGUGAAAGCCCGGGGCUCAACCCCGGGUCUGCAGUGGGUACGGGCAGACUAGAGUGCAGUAGGGGAGACUGGAAUUCCUGGUGUAGCGGUGAAAUGCGCAGAUAUCAGGAGGAACACCGAUGGCGAAGGCAGGUCUCUGGGCUGUUACUGACGCUGAGGAGCGAAAGCAUGGGGAGCGAACAGGAUUAGAUACCCUGGUAGUCGAUGCCGUAAACGUUGGGCACUAGGUGUGGGGGACAUUCCACGUUCUCCGCGCCGUAGCUAACGCAUUAAGUGCCCCGCCUGGGGAGUACGGGCCGCAAGGCUAAAACUCAAAGGAAU
rnacentral:rRNA from 1 species